GGGAAUAUUGGACAAUGGGCGCAAGCCUGAUCCAGCAAUACCGCGUGAGGAAGAAGGCCUUGGCGUUGUAAAGUUCUUUCUGUAGGGAAGAAGUGCAAAAUCUAAUCAUAUGAAGAGUGACGUACUACAGAGAGCCAUCC
rnacentral:rRNA from 1 species